rnacentral:rRNA from 1 species
UGGCUGCAGUGGGGAAUUUUGGACAAUGGGGGCAACCCUGAUCCAGCCAUUCCGCGUGAGUGAAGAAGGCCUUCGGGUUGUAAAGCUCUUUCAGCAGGAACGAAACGGUGGUCCUUAAUACGGGCUACUAAUGACGGUACCUGAAGAAGAAGCACCGGCUAACUACGUGCCAGCAGCCGCGGUAAUACGUAGGGUGCGAGCGUUAAUCGGAAUUACUGGGCGUAAAGCGUGCGCAGGCGGUUAUGUAAGACAGGUGUGAAAUCCCCGGGCUCAACCUGGGAACUGCAUUUGUGACUGCAAGGCUAGAGUAUGGCAGAGGGGGGUAGAAUUCCACGUGUAGCAGUGAAAUGCGUAGAGAUGUGGAGGAACACCGAUGGCGAAGGCAGCCCCCUGGGUCAACACUGACGCUCAUGCACGAAAGCGUGGGGAGCAAACAGGAUUAGAUACCCCGGUAGUC